ensembl:lncRNA
GGGGAGCCGGGGCGGUGCGGCGCCCUCUCACGUGGGUCCUUCCUGAGUGACCAGAGCAGCAACAGUGCGGCUGCGAGGUGAUGGCCCCCAGAUCCCUGACAUGGUCACACCUGUACAUAAGCUGACAUCUAUGCCAUACUGUCCAAAUGAGUUGGCAACGGAUAACAGUCACCUCGAGGUUCUUAGGGGGUCUCUGGUUAUCUGCCCUCGGUGUCAUGAGCUGAUUCCCAGCACACAGCACCCGCUUUGAGGGCAUUUCCUUCACCUGGCAUGGCUUCUCCUGGAUCCCCUUGUGCCGUUCCUGGUCCAGCAGGUCUUGAUGCUGAGCGUGUGGGACAGUUCCUAUUUCCCUGUGUGAGUUUUCGUGGUGGGUUUCCCCUCAAAACCCAUUCUGCAAAGUGUUUGCUGUUUCCUUCCGUCCGCUCCUUGCAGACGCCUAUUUUAGAGGCUGCCUUUGGAAGCUGCGAUCGUGGCUGUCCUUCACACGAGGUCAGGUUAAUUUGGGACUCAUCCCUGGCAUGUCACUGAUUUACAGAUCUGUCUCGACGAGCCUAUUUUGGGUAAAUUCACCUCACCUCCCC